GUCACCAAUAUCUGCAUUACAAAGUUUGAAACUUAAUCCUCUUCUUCAACAUUACCUUACAUCCCUGACACGGGUGGAAGGCCUCCUGUUUCAACUUUGUGGGAGAAGAGCAAACCAAACUUUUAGGCCACUUUUAAGCCAUUUUUGAACUAAUGAAUGAUCCAAAUGAAAAGCACAGCUAUUUAGAAGCAGAUCUCAGAGAUCCCUCACACAGAUAGGCUCGAGAAACUACAAGCAACCAAGUUACUUUCUCCAGGGAACUUUCCCAUCUAUUAGUCACUUGCACAUCUUAGAAGAGAGAUUAGUCAAACAGAGAGGCUCCAUGCCACACGGAGUGAAUCACUGCCGGUUCUGCGAAGUCUCUGAGGGGUACUGACAAGUAAUCCACUCCUCUGUUUCCAAAGAAGGAUUUAUUUACGCAUGAGUUCAAGAGUGAGGGAAGAUAACUUCAUAUCAAACUGAGACUUCAAUGAGAUAAUUAGCAGGUACCCAAAGACCUCUGUUGAUGGAGGGUGUGGUGGCAGCUACUUUCUACCAUACCAGCUCUGUGAUCUCUCCAACCUAGGAUUGUUUUGUUUCUGUCCUACCACUUAGCAGAGAGACUUCUGUACUAAGUAUCCCUGUCCUGUAACUUCUCUCUUAAUCUGACCCACAGCUCCAAGAGACCAUGAGGGUUUAAAUCAGACUUCAGUGUGUUUAUUCCCUUUGCCUGAUUGUGGUUAAGCUAAGAGUUUGACAGUAGAAAUAUAAUAGGAACAGGAAAGAGAUAAUCAUACCCAAAUCACAGGGUACAAAGCCUACCCAGCAGCUAUAAUGCUUGUGCACAGUGCUGUUUUGGAUCUCAAAGCUACGCGCCUAGAAAGAGCACAAUUAUUUACAAAAUUUACCCUAAAGUACAGCUGGGUGUUCAGAUUUUUGAAAUUUAUUAGAAAAUGUAUUUCAGUGGAGCAAAUUGAAAUCUAUUGAGUAUAGAAUAAUGGCUAAACCUAACAUUCAGGAUUCAUGGACCCAACAAAUAUUGGUUGUUCUGGUUGUACCUGACUCUAUCUAGUUGCUAAGGAAAGAGAUGAACAGAGAGAUAGUCCUUGCUCUUGACAAGCUUAUGAAUGGGAAGAGGAGACGUAAACAAAAUGAACCAAUAAUCUGAUGCCACAUGACCUGUGAGAAGGAUUCAGAACAGCAUAACGGAGAGAGCUUUUAAUCCUCGUGGUGCCACGUGUAGUAAAGAGAGGGCCCUGCAGAAACUGACAGCUGAGCAGUCACUGGGCAUCCUUUGGAGAAGGAAAUGGAGGAGGAGAGGGACAGGGCUUUCUUGGUAGCAAAGAUAACAAUAGGUGCGAAGUAAUGGAAGCAUGAAAUAGUAUCUUGUCCUCUAAAUCUCAAGUUGGUGCUACUAGGAGUUUCAUAGUGAAGCAACAGGAGUCAAAGAGAUGGCUGAAGUGUUAUAUCAUUCCAAGUUUUAACUCCACAAGUCCUUACUGGGAAGAUAUGGGCCUCCGUCUUUUAAAUUAAGGCUCCCUCUUUGUAAUUCAGUUCCAUGAUCCCAAUGGUCACGACACAUUCCAAAAUUCUCUCAAGCAAAACCUGCUGCAGAAGAUGAAAUAGGAGAUUUAUCAGCCUAAAAACAAACCAAAAAAGAGUCUCUGUGGCUUUUUGUAGACAUUACAUUAGAUGGAGCAAGGCUGGCAUUACAGCCAGCAAGGAAAAUUACAAGCAAUUUAUACAUGCCUCCAACUCAUCGUCUCAAUGUGUCCUGAAGAAUUCAUCAAGCUUCAGAGAAUCACAGACUCAUCCAAGGUGAGGUCAUCAUGUUGAUGUUGGCUGGCUUAGAGAGCAGGUUUUGUCAGCCGUAUAUCAGAGAAAGGGCCCAGAACGGUAAGAGGCAGGCUCCAAGCUAACCAUGGGCUGAGCUGGUUUCAAUGGCUCUUCCAUCAUCACUUAUAGGAGAGUUAUUUUUACAGGAGAACGUCACUAGCAAAACAUAAGCUGGCUUUCACUUUAAAGGAAAGAUGCCAGCCUCUAAGCUCAUUCUUUAAUUGCCUUCUACGUAAGAGAAGAGGUUGUUAGUAUAGCGAACAAGCCAGAACAGGGAUGCGGAAGCCAACUGUUCUGGACUCCAACGAUGCGAAGUUCACUGGGAGGUGUGGUCUGCAGCCAACCACGGGAUGCAGGAGAUUGGAGAAGAGCUCUCCUUCCAUUCAGUCCCACGGCAGAGUACGCAGCCUCCUUGCCUUUGCGAAACAACCACUGGAGACUUCUCAGAGAGAUGCUACCAAGACGCUUCAGCCUGGAACACAAGGAUGGGGGGUCUCACUAUGUUGCCCAGGCUGGACUUGAA